ACAUAAAUAGAAGAAUCAAAUAUUAAUGAUAAAAACACUCGGUGGUCGAGUGGAGACGUGCACCUGCUGGCAUGCUAGCAGACACGGAUCAAGUCUCAGGUAUAGAAGGCAUUUUUCUCAAAUAUGAAAAUAUCAGGUGUAAUUUGGGUUGCAUAUAUGAAUUGCAACGAAAUAUAUGAGAAAUUGAAAUACAAGUGAAGGCAAUAUGAGAAAUAUGAAAGCAAGUUGGAGGAGCGGGAACAGAGAAAUAGAAGUAGAACAAGGAGUAGCAGAGAAGAAGAGUAGAGACAGAAGGAAGAGAACAGAGUAGAGAAGAGGGAGGAGAUAGAAGAAAGAGAGAAUAGGGGUGACGGAAUUUUUAAAUUUUUUGGCACGUGUCGUUAUAAGACAGUCUACCGUCGAUCUCCCAGAGCGCCUCCGGCGCUCUGGUCGAUCGCCCACUGCUUCGGUUCGUCCAUUGCUCCCGGCCCAUCCUACAGCUCCGAUGUCUCUGCGCUUCAUCCCCGGAAUUAUCAGGCAUAUCAACAAUUUUUAAGUGGGAUCAUCCUCUGAGAGAGGGAACUCUCUUAGAGACCUGUGCCUGUAGUGAUAGAAGGGGAACGCACAAAUCAAAGAAAAAGAAAAUUCAAAGUGCAAAGAAGAAAAUCCUAAAAACAACAGUUGAAGCAAAAUUUUCACGGACACAAAAGAAAACGAAUAUACAGGGUGUACCAGAAAGAAAAUACCAAGUUCAAAACAAUGAACAUUCAAAACUGACAAAUAAAGACAAUCUUCUAUGUGCGUUUAGGAAAACUAAUAUACGGGGUGUUACAAAAAGAAAAUUUUCGAAACUACAAAAAUAAUCAAUAUUAACAUCAUGACACGGGAAAUUUAUAUGGAAACAACAUUAUUUUAAUAUAAAUUAAAAGAUUUCACCCGAAAAUGAUCGGGAAAUUAAGCAAAAAGGUGCUAGAAAAGAUAACAAUUACAUUUUAAUAUAUUGUGAAUAUAUAUUUAUUAAUUAAUUAAACCGACGGGUGAAGCAUCAUCAUAAAUUGAUAGAAUAUCCGGUGGAAAACAUCUAAAUCAACAGACGACAAGCGACGGCGAGUGGCAUUACUGUCGUUAAAUACGAUAAAAAUAACAAGGUAAUUUUUUGUAAAUAUUAAGAUAUACGGAGACUACGAAAACGAAGAACUAUUCACCGUACAAGAUUUUAUUACGUCAACAAGAGACUUCUUAAUUUAAUGCUGCUAACAAGUGCAAUUCGAUUAAAAACAUUCACGUGUUCAGCGAAAGGAUGACCGAGCCGACGGCCGACGGCAAAGUGAGCGCGGUCGACCACAUAAAUAUUGUCAUUUUAAUACUCCACAGA